UCAGAAUGUGACCUUAUUUGGGAAUAGGGCCAUUGCAGAUGUACCUAGUUAAGGUGAGGUCAUACUAGAGUAGAAAUGGCCCUUAUCUAUAUAUAUAAAA